AAGAAAAGUUAAGCAAGACACAGAACUACUUUCGAUGAAAAUAAAAGAGCUCAAGAAUUGUCAAAAUGAUCUCCUAAACGAAAUAAGCCAGAAGAAAUGUGAACUGGAAAUGUUACAACAGAAAGAGUCACUACUGAAGGAAAUGUGUUCUGAGAAAGAAAAAAAUCUCCAAAAGGAAGAAAGUAGUUUGGAUGAAAUGCAGAGAGCAGUAUGGGAACAUCGAGAGAAAUUUUGUGAGAAGGUGAAGGAAUUCAGCAAAAGAAGCUGGCUCUCUGCCUUAUCUAACAUACAUUCUGCAAGUCAGUCAUUAAUUGUUAAAACAUAUUUACAAUCAUUAACUGUUAACGCUACAGAAG